GGCCUCAAAUUACUAAAAGUUAGAUCAAAGAGAGAAGUGCAACCGUCCAAGCCUAGAGCCGUUUAGAGUUGUCAGUCGGCUGUUCUUCAUCAAACCCAUUGGAUCGGUUGUCCCUGACACUUAAAGUGUCCUCAACGCAAAGCUUGAUUGUUCACAUUGGGCAAAAUAAUCAUCUAUAGCAUUUUUCCCUACUGUUGCUUGCAUUUGACAACCAGUUCUGGCAUGAUGAGCAGUGGAGGAACAUUCUGGCUCUUGUGCAUAAUUGCAGGCGUAGCCAUGCCACAAAGUCAGAUUAGCAGAGCUGAAACUGCUCCAAGUUAUGCUGGAGUCGGUUGCUACAAAGAUUUCUUUCCGCGAGCCAUGAAUCGUCUCGCAAACUUUCGCAAACCAUCAGAUUCUCCCUUGGAUUGGAAUGACUUGGAAAAGUCAGUGGUGAGGAGGUGUGCCCAAAAGGUAAAGUCCUUUACCGACUCCAAACU